AUGGCCUUCGCCCGCCCGCUCCUGCGCGGGCCACUGUCGGGGCCGCUGCUCGGGCGGCGCGGGGUCUGCGCUGGGACCAUGGCUCCGCCGCGCCGCUUCGUCCUGGAGCUUCCCGACUGCACCCUGGCUCACUUCGCCCUAGGCGCCGACGCCCCCGGCGACGCAGACGCCCCCGACCCCCGCCUGGCGGCGCUGCUGGGGCCCCCGGAGCGCAGCUACUCGCUGUGCGUGCCCGUGACCCCGGACGACGGCUGCGGGGCCCGGGUCCGGGCGGCGCGGCUGCAUCAGCGCCUGCUGCACCAGCUGCGCCGCGGCCCCUUCCAGCGGUGCCAGCUGCUCAGGCUGCUCUGCUACUGCCCGGGCGGCCAGGCCGGCGGCGCACAGCAAGGCUUCCUGCUGCGCGACCCCCUGGAUGACCCUGACACCCGGCAAGCGCUGCUCGAGCUGCUGGGCGCCUGCCAGCAGGCACCACGCCCGCACCUGGGCGAGUUCGAGGCCGACCGGCGCGGCCAGCUGUGGCAGCGCCUCUGGGAGGUGCAAGACGGCAGGUGGCUGCAGGUGGGCUGCGCACAGGUCGUGCCCGCCCCGGAGCCCCCGCUGCACCCGGUGGUGCCAGACUUGCCCAGUUCCGUGGUCUUCCCGGACCGGGAAGCCGCCCGGGCCGUUUUGGAGGAGUGUACCUCCUUUAUUCCUGAAGCCCGGGCGGUGCUUGACCUGGUCGACCAGUGCCCAAAACAGGUCCAGAAAGGAAAGUUCCAAGUUGUUGCCAUCGAAGGACUGGAUGCCACGGGUAAAACCACAGUGACCCAGUCAGUGGCAGAUGCACUUAAGGCUGUCCUCUUAAAGUCACCACCCUCUUGCAUUGGCCAGUGGAGGAAGAUCUUUGAUGAUGAACCAACUAUCAUUAGAAGAGCUUUUUACUCUUUGGGCAAUUAUAUUGUGGCCUCUGAAAUAGCUAAAGAAUCUGCCAAAUCUCCUGUGAUUGUAGACAGGUACUGGCACAGCACAGCCACCUAUGCCAUAGCCACUGAGGUGAGUGGGGGUCUCCAGCACCUGCCCCCAGCCCAUCACCCUAUAUACCAGUGGCCAGAGGACCUGCUCAAACCUGACCUCAUCCUGCUGCUCACCGUGAGUCCUGAGGAGAGGUUGCAGAGGCUGCAGGGCCGGGGCAUGGAGAAGACCAGGGAAGAAGCAGAACUUGAGGCCAACAGUGUGUUUCGCCAAAAGGUAGAAAUGUCCUACCAGAGGAUGGAGAAUCCUGGCUGCCAUGUGGUUGAUGCCAGCCCCUCCAGAGAAAAGGUCCUGCAGACGGUAUUAAGCCUAAUCCAAAAUAGUUUUAAUGAACCGUAGUUAUUCUGGCCAGGUGCCAUGUCUAACUAGAUUAGAUGUUGUUUGAAACAUCUACAUCCACCAUUUGUUAUGCAGUGUUCCCAAAUUUCUGUUGUACAAGCAUGUUGUGUGGCAGAAAACUGGAGAUCAGGCAUCUUAAUUUUACUUCAGCCAUCGUACCCUCUUCUGACUGAUGGACCCGUCAUCACAAAGGACCCUCUCAUCAUGUUCCAGUGAGAGGCCAGUGAUUGCUUUCUUCCUGGCAUAGUAAAUAUUUUCUUGGAACAUGUGUUUCACUUAAUCACUACCAAAUAUCUGGAAGACCUGUCUUCCUCAGACAGCACCAGGUGUACAGAAGCAGCAGAGAAGAUCUUCCAGAUCAGCAGGGAGCCCCCAGCGCCUCUCCAUCUCCUACACUGGCAUGCUGAUGAGAUCGUGACGUGCCCACAUUGGCGUCUUCCACAUCUGGUUGCACUCGUCAUGAUGGGCUCGCUGCAUCUCCCUCAGUCCCAAAUUCUAGAGCCAAGUGUUCCUGCAGAGGCUGUCUAUGUGUCCUGGCUGUCCAAGGACACUCCCGCAGAGCCAUUUUUGGAUGAAAUUGGAGAACCUGAACAUGAUUGUCAAAAAAUAGUGAUGCAAACCUAUGCAGCCAGAGAGGACGUCCAGGAAACUCCUCUAGAAAACUGAGACUGGGCUCUCUUUACAGGUCCCAGCUGGGAGGAACCUUAUACCGUCCUUCUCUCCACCUGCUCAGCGGUGAAGUUUGUGGGACUGGAAUCUUGGAUUCAUCACACUCGAGUCAAGGCCUGGAAUGACCCCUUACAUCCCAGAAGAACAUCCCAGAUAUCAGUGUGAAAAAUUCGGGGAUUUCAAACUGAAAAUACGAAAGAUAAGUAAAUGAGGGAGAACUCUCUGUUCAGUUCAAUCCCACACUUACCUUACCAGAUACUAAAGUCAUUUCUACCUUUCCUCUUGAGAUCUGCUGUUAGAUAUUAGAACUUCUCUUUGUCACAUACUUACAGGGAGAUUUUGAUUAUCCAUGGGAUUCCAUUCAUAACCUCAUAAACCACCCCCAUGAAGAAAUUAUAUAUCUCGGUAAGAUUUAAAGUGGAACUUUAUUACUUCACACAUAUGGGAAUUGUUGUACUCACCUUACUCUUUGCAGUAGGACUAUAUACUGUGGCACCUUCUAAGUGGAAUAUUGGGAAAAGAGUCUCAAUUGCCAUAAUCUUUUGCUUAGUUAUUAUUCAUAUAGCAGGGAUAGUAGUCACAGAUAAGAGAUAAACAUGAAGAUUUUGUUACUAUCAAGUUUACUAGCAUUCACUGUUAGAUGUAGCAAUGCCUCACAUUCUUUAGCCCCUGCAAUAUCAGAUAUUACCGAUCUGUACAACAAGACUGAUUACUGGGUUUGCCCUGAACAAUUUACUCAGUUUAAUAAUACCAAUGGACUCUUUGAUGACUCAGAACUCACUAUCUUAGGGUUUCCCUCUGAUGGCUUUACCUUAAAUCAUUAAGGGCCUAAUAGGUAUAAAGGGAACAUGGUAUGGGAGCAUUUUUAACUCCACCCAGAAAGACACACCCCCUGAGGCUAAAACUCACACCCUUAGACUAGGUGAAGUUGAUAGAAUGAUAGCCAAUGCCCGUCUCUGCUUUAAGAGUAAAGGAAAAGGACCAUACUUGGGAAACCUUAAAUAUUGCAACAGUAUGCUUGUAACUGCUGAGAGCACAGAGAUCUGGAGACUAAGAAGGAACAAGGGUGACACCAAACAUUGGGAGAGACUGUGGAAAAAUUUUAACAAUCUAGCCAACCCUCCCAGGUGGAGUUCCUAAUGGGAAUGUCUACCCCAGGCAGAAAUGCCACCCCUCGCCAACCUUAUUAUCAGGUGAUAAAUAACACAUGGUCCUUCCCAAACAUGCCCAUACAUGGAAUCCUGGGCCCUUAUAUGAUAUUUGAUAAUGACAGUGAUCUGCAAAUCUGUGGAUGAACAGGGGAUGUCUGGACCAAUAGCCCCUGUGAGGAGGGUUGUCUAAGAUACUGGCUGGAACAUAUUGUGUCUCUGAUCUUUUGAAACUAUAUUUGCCAAAAAGAUUCUUCCCUCCCAGCAUGUAAAGUUCCAAACAAUACUGUGGAUGACUAUACUAAGUAUGGAUAUCCUUAUUCUAAAGAUGCUUGAAUUAGAUGUAGGGAAGGCAACCUUAUAAGGCCUGGACUAAACUUAGCUGGAACCCUCAUAAAUCACAACAUAGAACCAUCCCUUCAGGGAACAGGGCUUUACUUUCUCUGUGGCUCCAGGCUAUGCUUAAUCCUCCCCAGGCACUGGAGAGAAACAUGCACUAUAGUGGCAAUGGUCCCCAAUUUGUUAUUUUUAAACCCCACUGAUAGGGUAGCAUCCUUGGGUGACAUCCCCAAUUUGGGCUCUUUUACAGAAAGUGCAUUCCCUCACACAUACCAAAACAGGAGAUCACUUAUCUCUAUGCCAUCGUAUGGAGAUUAAACUGAGAGAGAGAGAACUGGCAAGAAUAUGCACAUGGCAAUCCUAUAUUAGAAAAACCAGGAAUAAAAUAUGCAAUAGCCAGAGGCCUAUUUUGGCUUGGCGGUGUUCCCCUUCUUGAAAUAUCAGUGCUUAAUAUUUCUAUCAUGACGUAACAAGGGUGAAAGGUAACUGUAGGAGCCAUAAAAGCCCAACAGCAGUCCAUAAAUUCUCUGGCCUCAGUGGUCAGGCAAAAUAGACAAACUCUUGAUGUCCUUACAGCUGAAGUAGGGGGCGCUUGUGCAUUUGUAAAUGAAACACGCUGUUUCUGUAUCAACACUUCCAGUCAGGUAGAGGAGAAUUUACCAGUGCUUAAAGAUUCAAUUAGAAUCAUUGACAAAUUAGGUGAAAAUGCAAACUCAGUUUGCUACAAUCCCUUUUUAAUGGAUUCUAGUCUUUGUUUUGGACCCAGUUAGCUCCUCUACUAGGACCUCUUUUUCCUGUAUGCCUUAUGAUAAUGUUUGGACCUUGCAUACUCAAUGCUAUAACCAGAGAGAUGGAGAAAAAGAUGAAUGGUACUCCCAUGUGGAGUGCGACCACAGCCCUGGGCCCUGCCUCCUUGUACAUGUGAUGAGCACAUUUCUACCUGGUUUAAGCCAUUCUUGAUUUGGGUUUCUGAUCCACACAGAGUUGAAUGUAUAUUCUUUUACUUUUUGCACCAAAAACCUAGGACACCUUCACUAACAUAUGGGACUAAAAUGUUGUUGUUUGAGACAGAGUCUCAUUGUCACCCAGGCUGGAGUGGAGUAGCCUGAUCUCAGCUCACUGCAACCUCUACCUCCCAGGCUCAAGCAAGUCUUGUGCCUCAGCCUCCCAAUUAGCUGGGAUUACAGGCAUGCGCCACCAUGCCCAGAUAAUUUUUAUGUUUUCUGUAGAGAUGGAGUUUCACCAUAUUGCCCAGGCUGGUCUUGAACU